rnacentral:rRNA from 1 species
UACGGAGGGUGCAAGCGUUGUCCGGAAUCACUGGGCGUAAAGGGCGCGUAGGCGGCUCAUGAAGGCUGUGGUGAAAGUCCGGGGCUCAACCCCGGGUCGGCCGUGCGAACUGUCGAGCUGGAGCACUGUAGAGGCAGGUGGAAUUCCGGGUGUAGCGGUGGAAUGCGUAGAGAUCCGGAAGAACACCGGUGGCGAAGGCGGCCUGCUGGGCAGUGGCUGACGCUGAGGCGCGACAGCGUGGGGAGCAAACAGG